GCCAGCAUAGUGUAGUGGUUACAGUACUGGACUAGGACUCUGGAGACUAAGGUUCAAAUCCUGGUUUGGCC